CGCGGCCUAUCAGCUUGUUGGUGAGGUAAUGGCUCACCAAGGCGACGACGGGUAGCCGGCCUGAGAGGGCGACCGGCCACACUGGAACUGAGACACGGUCCAGACUCCUACGGGAGGCAGCAGUGGGGAAUAUUGCACAAUGGGCGAAAGCCUGAUGCAGCGACGCCGCGUGGGGGAUGAAGGCCUUCGGGUUGUAAACCCCUUUUAGCAGGGAAGAAGCGAAAGUGACGGUACCUGCAGAAAAAGCGCCGGCUAACUACGUGCCAGCAGCCGCGGUAAUACGUAGGGCGCAAGCGUUGUCCGGAAUUAUUGGGCGUAAAGAGCUCGUAGGCGGUUUGUCGCGUCUGCUGUGAAAAUCCGAGGCUCAACCUCGGACUUGCAGUGGGUACGGGCAGACUAGAGUGUGGUAGGGGAGACUGGAAUUCCUGGUGUAGCGGUGGAAUGCGCAGAUAUCAGGAGGAACACCAAUGGCGAAGGCAGGUCUCUGGGCCACAACUGACGCUGAGGAGCGAAAGCAUGGGGAGCGAACAGGAUUAGAUACCCUGGUAGUCCAUGCCGUAAACGGUGGGCACUAGAUGUGGGGCUCUUUCCAUGAGUUCCGCGUCGCAGCUAACGCAUUAAGUGCCCCGCCUGGGGAGUACGG
rnacentral:rRNA from 1 species